UGGUUUCGGGGCAGAGCGAAGAGACUGCUGAGGUGCUGAGAGAGAAACGCUACCAGCAUGGUGCUUCCCACCCUGCUGUGGGCACUCACUGCCUUCCUCUGCCUCGGAUCCAGCAUGGCCCAGAGCGUCUCUCAGACCAAGGCAGCAGUGUCCGGGGUGGUGGGACAGACAGUGACCCUGCCCUGCAGCUACAGCACGAGCGACAGCUCUUACUAUUUGUACUGGUACAAAAAACCUCCUAGCGGGGGGUUGAUUUACCUUAUUCGUCAGUAUUCUGAUUCCCAGAAUGCGAGGACUGGCAGAUUCUCUGUGUCUCUCUGGAAAGCAGAAAAGUCCAUCAACCUCAGGAUCAACGCGUUAGAACUGGGAGACUCUGCGGUAUAUUUCUGUGCUUACAGUAAGGCCCACAGUGAGAGAAUGGGCAAGAGGAGCUGUUCAAAAACUCUGGAGUUCUCAGCCCUGCUCAGUGCAGGGGGAACGUGGGGGAAAUCCCCAAACCCUGACAGGAAACUGGUUGGGUGAAGCCUGGAGCUGGGAGCAGCCCAGAUGGGGGCUGGAGAGGAAACGGUUGGCUUUGUUCUAGAAAAUAACCCCUCAGCUGAGCCCCAGUAACAGGGCAAGUGGCAGAAGUUUACCGUGCUCAAAAACCUGCUUGACUUUGAACUCUUUAUUUGAAUGAAACAAGCUGGUGAGUAGCCAGGCUUGUUCCUGCAUUUAAGGGCAGAAGCCAAUAAGGGUAAACAGAGCACGUUAACUGUUCUGAGCAUCUGCUGAACGGAAAGGACAAGAGGUUAAUGAGUCAGUGACAACGUUCUUUGAAAAUGUUGCAAUCAGUACAUUCCCCUCUCCCACACUGAAUUUUCUCCCAGUUCCUUAUGUAAUUUAUCAGUUCCCUGUCCCCACCUUGUUUCCAUUCUCCUGCAUCUUCAGUUCCUUCCUUCCCCACUUUUUGUACUCUUCCCUCCCACCCCCUUGCUAGAAAUAGGACAAUUUCCCAUCCUGUGGCAUCUGACCCAAUCUGCCAGGAUACAAAACAUUUUUUAAUCUCCAAAAUCCCCAAGCCCUCCUUGUUCUUUGGUUGAGGAGCAGCAUAGUUUAGUAGAUAGAGCACAGGCCCCAGAAUCAAAAGGACCUGGGUUCUAAUUCUGGC